UGUCGUCAGCUCGUGUUGUGAAAUGUUGGGUUAAGUCCCGCAACGAGCGCAACCCUUAUCCUUUGUUGCCAGCGAUUAGGUCGGGAACUCAAAGGAGACUGCCAGUGAUAAACUGGAGGAAGGUGGGGAUGACGUCAAGUCAUCAUGGCCCUUACGACCAGGGCUACACACGUGCUACAAUGGCGCAUACAAAGAGAAGCGACCUCGCGAGAGCAAGCGGACCUCAUAAAGUGCGUCGUAGUCCGGAUUGGAGUCUGCAACUCGACUCCAUGAAGUCGGAAUCGCUAGUAAUCGUGGAUCAGAAUGCCACGGUGAAUACGUUCCCGGGCCUUGUACACACCGCCCGUCACACCAUGGGAGUGGGUUGCAAAAGAAGUAGGUAGCUUAACCUUCGGGAGGGCGCUUACCACUUUGUGAUUCAUGACUGGGGUGAAGUCGUAACAAGGUAACCGUAGGGGAACCUGCGGUUGG
rnacentral:rRNA from 1 species